rnacentral:rRNA from 1 species
GACGAACGCUGGCGGCGUGCUUAACACAUGCAAGUCGAACGAAGUGGCGAACGGGUGAGUAACGCGUGAUCAACCUGCCCUUCAGAGGGGGACAACAGUUGGAAACGACUGCUAAUCCCCAAUACUGAAUGACGGGAUUGCGUUUGAUUGGCUCGUUGGGGGGGUAACGGCCCACCAAGGCGAUGAUCAGUAGCCGGGCUGGGAGGGUGAACGGGCACAAUGGGAACGGGGAACGGGCCAGAAUCCUACGGGAGGCAGCAGUGGGGAAUCUUCCGAAAUGGAGGGAAGGCCGACGAAGCAAAGGCGCGUGAGUGGUGACGGGCCUCGGGUUGUAAAGCUCUGUUCAGCGGGAAGCGGUACCGGAAGAGAAAGCAACGGCUAACUACGUGCCAGCAGCCGCGGUAAUAC